rnacentral:rRNA from 1 species
AACGAACGCUGGCGGCAUGCCUAACACAUGCAAGUCGAACGCCCCGGUUCGCCGGGGAGUGGCGCACGGGUGAGUAACGCGUGGGAACCUGCCCGGCAGUACGGGACAACCGCGGGAAACUGCGGCUGAUACCGUAUACGGCCUGAGGGCGAAAGAAUUUCGCUGUCGGAGGGGCCCGCGUCGGAUUAGGUAGUUGGUGGGGUAACGGCCUACCAAGCCUGCGAUCCGUAGCUGGUCUGAGAGGAUGAUCAGCCACACUGGGACUGAGACACGGCCCAGACUCCUACGGGAGGCAGCAGUGGGGAAUAUUGGACAAUGGGCGCAAGCCUGAUCCAGCAAUGCCGCGUGAGUGAUGAAGGCCUUAGGGUUGUAAAGCUCUUUCGCCCGCGACGAUGAUGACGGUAGCGGGAGAAGAAGCCCCGGCUAACUCCGUGCCAGCCGCCGCCGUAACAC